UACAGAGGGUGCGAGCGUUGUUCGGAAUUACUGGGCGUAAAGCGCGCGCAGGCGGCUUUUAAGUCCGUUGGUGAAUGCCGGGCUCAACCCCGUGCCCGCCAGGGAUACUGGAGAGCUGGAGACGAGUAGGAGGCGAAGCUGGGAAUUCCGGGUGUAGGCGGUUGGGAAUGCGUAGAGAUCCGGAAGAACACCGGAGGCGAAGGCGGGUCUCUGGGCCGAUACUGACGCUGAGGAGCGAAAGCGUGGGGAGCGAACAGG
rnacentral:rRNA from 1 species